UCCACUCUCAUUUCCAAUUUCACACCGACAUGCUCUUGACGUAUUUAUAAACGAACUCUUAUGUCAAUCCACUAAAAAGCAACCAAAUAUUUUCCAGAAAAAUAUUUUUCUCCUGUUGCUGUGGCAAUCUUGACUGCUGCUGAGCAGAACGGGUGGGAGAAGCCAGCGUCAGUGCGAGAGCAUCCUGCUUUCCUGCAUGGAAAGAAUGAGCUGCUGUGAGCAGCAGCAGAAUGAUGUGACUCCAGUGGCCAGUGUCACCGCGGAGCCGAGCAUCCUCUCCGGGUGUGCGCUGCCUGCAGAGCUGCCUGCUUUUUGAGAGAAGGAGACAUGGCAAAGGUGGUGUUUGCAGACAGCGCUCGCUCUCCCAGCGCUCCUCGAGCUCGGGGUAUGAGGGCAGAGGCUGCUGAUGCUCCUGCAUCCUCCUGCCAGUCAUCCGAGCCCUGUCCUGCAGCUGCAGAGGACCAGGCAGGUCUGCGCUUGGGAGCAGGGACCUCGGCGUCACGGAGGGGCACCACGAGAUCUCCAUGCUCCAGUCCUCAGUCUGCAGCCUGGAGGAGAGAGCCAAAGCAGGAGACCAGACCCGCAGCCCUUCACGUGAUACCAGAUCUCCCGACGUGCCCUUCUCGCUGCUGCUGAAGAGAGGCUUAACGCGGGGUGAUGGUCCUGUGCUGCUCCUGCCUGGGUGUCUCCUCUUCCUCGUAAGCUGUGCACCCAAGGCAGGCUCCAGGUUGGCUUGGUUUCCAUCCUACUCCAGCAUGGUACCGGCCCGCAGUGCUUGCCUCGGAGCAUCCUUGAGCCUGUCCAGAAGAAGUAAGAGCUCCUUUCUCUGACACCUGCCAUGACGAGCGGCCUGUCCUCAGGCAAGCAGCAGCGUUUCCCAUCGCUGGUGCUCUGAAGCACGGAAAGCUCUGUUAGAGUUGUCUCUUGCUGGGUAAGCACGGGUCGAGGCUGCGGGCAGGUAGAGUGUCCCCAGAGCUGCUUGGAAACACGGCAAUGACUGAAGGGCCAUCCGGAUGCCCUUCUCCCAGCAUGGUGCACGAGAGUGCUGCAGUAGUAGCAACAGAAGAGCUCUGAAAAACUCACGUGAGUGUUAAAAUAAGCAACAUCAGCAGAUCCAGGUUUGCUGGACCUCCAGAGCUGCUUUGUGCAACGCCCGUCCCUGUGCCAUGCGUACAACCACCCAGCCCUCUCCGGAGGAGGGGCAGGCUCCGAGGUCCCCAGGAGGCUGCGAUGGAGCGGGAUCGGCCAGAGCUCGUCGCUGUGCCUGGUGGAGACCCUCUCCCAGGAGGGCGCAGGCCAGCAGGCUGUCCAGGCUGCUGCUCCCAGCCCCUAGAAAGUAAAUCCUGGGAGCAGAGUCCCCACUGCUGGCUGAUUGUGUCGGUUUGUAUUAGAUCCCACUGAGUGUGUUUUACAUAAUUUGUUUUGCAGAAUGAAGUGUUUUACAAAUGCAGUGUUUAAUCACCUUGUAAAAGGAGAUGAAAAAAUAUCUCCGUCCCUGGGGCUGGGAAAUAGCUAAAAUGGAAUCCAGAAAAGAGACUGCCUGCUCGCCCCACCACGCUAGCUGGGCUGGAGAGCCCGGAAGAGCUGGCGUUUGUGCUUGCAGACAGCCCGGGGCUGGACAGAACUCAGAGGGCCAAAAAGCCCACGCUCAACACACCAGGCAUGGACGUGUUCGGGUGGAGCUGAGCCCCAGCGUCCCACCCGGGAGCUGGAGCUGGCCCCAGCACGCUGUGCUUGCCCUCCCAAGGGUUGCCGGUGAGCCACGCUUCUUCCCAGCACCUGGAGGUAGAUCAGUGGCUUGUCGGACAGCGAAGGGCACGUAAGUGAAGGAUGCAAAAUCAGAGUAAUGGCCAAGGAGACGGCAUCCACUUGAGUUCUCUUGCCCGUGGCGGGAGUGAUUAAUCUAGGUAAGGCAUCGCAGUGGAGUGAGACCACAAGGUUACGCAGCCUGAAGGCUGUGGGCUCCAGGAGCUGAGGAUGCUGCUGGACCAGCAGCCCCAAGGUGUGUUCCCCCUCCUUCUCCCUCCCUUGCCUUUGAUCUGCUGCUGAGGGGGGAAAAACCGUUCCCCGUUGGGAGCCGGUUCAGCCCAGGCCGGCAGAGCAGCGGGAGCCUCGCCGUGACUAAUGAGAUGUUUGCCGCUCGCUGGCUGACGCGGCGGUAGGGACUCUGUGCUGCCUGGGACCUGCGCUGAUAAACCGAGCCUCCCGGAGAUGGAGUGGCUUCCCUCUGCUACGGGCCUGUUGUCUGCUCCCCCUUAUCUAACAGGGUCUCUCCUCCGAGCGCCGCUUAAGCCUCCUCUGCGGCGUAACACAUCACUGAGGUCUGAUCCUGCCCACAAGCAGCGUAAAGCGAGAGCGGAUCUGCCAGUGGUGUCUGCUCUGAGGUCGCAGCAGGGCAGUGGUCUACAGGAGGGUGCUGGACAUCUGCAUGGCAGAGGGCACGGCUGUCACGUCAUCUUCACAGACAGGGUCUGAGCCUUCCACGGUGGCUCCGGCAAACGUUGGAGGAGAACCACCCUGCGCGGAGCCAGUGUGCCCCUCGUUUGGCCGUGACUGAUGCCAAAGAUAACGAGCAGCUUGGAAGGACGUUUUUUGUUGGUAGCUGGUGACGCCUGUUUACUAACGGCUGUUGAACGGGAAGGGGAACAAGGUCUUGGCCUCCCCGCCUGGGAGCACGACCUUCUGUCCCGCGUGUCGCCGGUGGGGUGUCUGAGUAAUGACAUCCCAGGGAAGACGCUGUCUGCAGUCCCGGAUCUGAGAAGCCACAAAGGGUGGGCGAUGUAGUGCAGACAGCGUUGAGGGGACGGGUGUCUGCCUCUCCCCCCUUAUUUAUUAUGCCAUAAAAUCCAAGGUAACGUACAUCAAUAAAUGCUGC